rnacentral:rRNA from 1 species
UGGGGAAUAUUGGACAAUGGGCGAAAGUCUGAUCCAGCCAUGCCGCGUGUGUGAAGAAGGUCUUCGGAUUGUAAAGCACUUUAAGUUGGGAGGAAGGGCAGUAAGCGAAUACCUUGCUGUUUUGACGUUACCGACAGAAUAAGCACCGGCUAACUCUGUGCCAGCAUCCGCGGUAAUACAGAGGGUGCAAGCGUUAAUCGGAAUUACUGGGCGUAAAGCGCGCGUAGGUGGUUCGUUAAGUUGAAUGUGAAAGCCCCGGGCUCAACCUGGGAACUGCAUCCAAAACUGACGAGCUAGAGUAGGGGAGAGGGUGGUGGAAUUUCCUGGGUAGCGGUGAAAUGCGUAGAUAUAGGAAGGAACACCAAUGGCGAAGGCGACCACCUGGGCUCAUACUGACACUGAGGUGCGAAAGCGUGGGGAGCAAACAGG